CGAAAGGUACUCUUUGGGUUCCAGAAUUCCACAUCAUAACUGCAUUGUGAUGUUUCUAAUGGAAUUUUCAGCAUUUAUAAUUUCCCCAAUUUUUUCUUAACUGGAAAUUCCCUCAACGACCAUUCAGGAAACACUCGACCACUGUCCUCUCUUGCUCAUUAUCUCUAAAACAUGCCAAAGAACAGUGAGCCUACACGUCUUAGUUCUUAAAUAAAUGAUGAAGGUAGGUUUAAAAAUUAACAGCAACUUUCAUAUAUCAACUUCUUGUAUGUUUCAGCUCUGAUGGUAUAUUAAAGGUCUGAUCUGAUUUGUGCUUUAGUUAAUGGGACUGUCACUUUGCAACUGUCCCCAACUGUAAAUUUUUAGUAGAAAAAGAUGAGCAUAGCAGAAAUGAAAUAUACAAGCAGCCUUCAAAAAUUUCUUGGAAAAAGUAUAUUAUGAAGAAACUAUGCAUGGAUUUCAAGAUUUUUUUUCUCCCAAAAAAACUUUUAAUUCCAUUCUUGCAUGAAUUUUUUCAAGUUCCCCUCUAUUACAUUCAAAUACAUUUAGCUUUUCAAGUGUUUGCAGGUAUAUGAAAAUAGUGAAAUUAGAAGUACUAAUUUAGGUAAAUAUAUUAAGAGAAGCAUACAAACGUCACAAAACGGGUCAACUCCAGACAGUGAGUGAAGGGAAAUCUUGACCACAUAGGCUGUGUCAGUUCUUUCGCUUUUGUUAUGUUUUUCCUUUCUUGGUCCAACAAGUGUAGCUUAUUCUCAUUAGCGAGUUAAAGACAACCCUUUCAGCUCUAGCCUUUCCUUGGGACAAAAUUGGAAUGAAGUACAACUAUGAUCAUGGUUGUACUGUAUCAUGGAACGUCAGUCAUAAUUCUUAUAGUAUAUUUUCUCUGACAAUGAGUAAGUAGUAUUCUGUUAAUACUGGUUAAAGCUAGAGGUCAAAGUUUUGUUUAAACUUAGGAGUAAUGACACUCCUAAGUAAAAUGUCUAAUGUUGCCCCUUAAACACUGAAAGAGGUUUUAAAAAAUACAAAUUUAAAACUCAAUUCAGCACAUAACACAUUUACUCUUAUUAAAUGUCUCUCAUACAAAGAAAAUACAUACUAAGCAAUGAACACAUCCAUGAAUUCCAGUAUUUCUAAACCAGAUGUCUAUGAUGCUGUCUCUCUAUUCUGCAGGUGAUUAAAUAAUUUUCUGAAGAUCUUAGUAGAAGUUAAGAAUGGAAUUAAGAAUGCAAUUUAUAUCUCCUGUGCCCUUUUGUGUGUCUCUUGCCUUACCACUGUGCAUACAUGCAUGCUUUCACAAUAGUGAGGAAGAGGUGAAUCACUAAUUCGAAAAUGAAGAAAUCAAAGUAAACGAUGUUGAUAAUCUCAACAGUCUUGAAGUCUGCUUAUCUGCUGCUAUACAGGCUAUUCACUCAGAAGCUGGGGAAACCUUAAUACACUCAUCAAAGCUCUCUUUACAAUUACCAAGGUAUUAAAGAAGGUGUCCAACAGCGAGAGGUGAAUCUUAAGUAGUUUAAAGAUUCCAUUUAGAUGAUGAAGAUAAUAACAAUAAUACUUAAUGCUACCACAGAGCCUUUAUUCCUGGAGGUUCAGAGUAUUUAACUAAAGGUCAAAUGAUAACAACCUCUGAAAUUUGCAAAACUGGGCUGGGAAACUUUUUUCUAUUGUGUUUGGUGGCGUAUACUUUUCUGCAUUUUCUUGUAGUACAAAGAAAUAUGAAUCCCAUUCUUUUUCAAAAGCAACAGGAAUAUCUGCAACUUGCAGCAAAAUGUCUUAGUGUUAACUUUAAAUAAUCGCUGAGUAUAAUUAAAUCUAUGUACAUUGAAUCCAACCCCUAAUAAGAAAGAAAAAUUCUAUGCAGCCAAUAGAAAUAAUGAAAAUCAUUGUAGUAUGAGGCAUUGUAAGCAAAUACUCACGAAAUCUAUAAGAAAUAUAAAUACUAAAAUAGAUACUGACAUUAUAAAACAGAACAAUUAACACAUAUUUUCAGAGAUUCUAUGCCUUCUAAAUUGUGCCAAUUAAUUCUCCCAGUAUCUCCACAAUGUAUAACAGGACAGAUCAUAUUUGUUAAGAUUAAUAAGGUGCUAGGCUUAAAAAUUAAUAUAAAGGGUCAGGCAUUGUGGCACAGUGGGUUAAGCCAUGACCUCUAACUCUGGCAUCCCAUACUGGAGCCAGUUUGUGCCCUGGCUAUUCCACUUCCAAUCCAGCUUCCUAUUAAUGGCCUGGAAAAAGUAGCAGAGGAUGGCCCAAAUAUUUGGGACCCUGCCACUCACACGGGAUGCAUGGAUAAAGCACCUGGCUCCUCAUUUCGGCUUGACCCAACCCUGGCCAUUGUGUCCAUCAGGAGAGUAAACCAGUAGAAGACCUCUCUCUCAGUUGCUCUAAUUCUGAUUUUCAAAAGAAAUAAAUCUUUUUUUUUUUUAGAAAUUAAUAAAAAAUGCUUACACUAGCAGACCGAUAUUUUCUUAACCAUAAAUAAUAAACACAAAUAACUAAUAACUAACUUCAUAUUUCAUGGCACUAUAAAACACAUGAAAAGAUGGCCCACAGAAAGAUUAUUGUGGGGAGCAACUCGGACUAGACUAAGUUACUGGAAUUAAGACUUAUUCUAUGCAUCUGCUCUCCCACAAUAUGGAGCUGGGAGAGGAGUAAACAACUUUUACACAGCUGCCUCCAGUUCGACCAGUAACCUGCAGGAGCUGAUCCUGCUCCCGAUUAGAGGAGAGCAGCGUACUUGGCAUGUGGGUAGCAGAGUUGGGAUUGGCGGAAGAGGACUAUAAAGUAGGAGAGAGACAACAUGCACCAGGAACAUCUAAAGGGAACAUCCGGAUAACAUCCGAGCAGCCCCCGAGAGAGCCAGCCGGCGGUGUGCCGCUCCCCCGCGGAAGUGGGGAAAGUGGCAGGGGGAACCGCCCUUCCACGGAGGUGGAAGGAUCGGCAGCCAACCCGGGGAAGGACCAGCAGCAAACCCGGGGAGGGCCGAGCAGACGAAAGAACAGCGCAGGGUCCUGUGUUGUUCCUCUGCGAAGAGGGGGAGCAACAAUUAUAAUCUUGUAAACUUGGGGAGAAUUAUAAUUUUGUUUAUGGCAAACUUGUGCAAUUCCUGUUAUUUUCAGAAUUGAAAAAAAUGCUAAUGGUCCAAUUUAACUUUCAUAGAUAUUUAAGCUAAAAUGUAGUAUUUAGAUUAAAAAUCUCCCAUUUUGGAGGAGUUAAGAUUUUAUUCUUUUUACUUACUUCAGUGAAUAAUUUAUUAAAGAUGAAAACAUGUUGUCAAACAAAAACACAAGAUAGUCAAAGCUUACACUAAUAAAUUACUCUAAGUCAUUUCUAUGGUUUUGAUUUUUAAAAUAGAUGAUUAAAAUUUAUAAUUGGUAAUAAUCAUGCUUUCUAAUUAAAAUAUUUAAAUCUUAACAAUAUCAUAAAAUUAAUCUAGUUAAAUAAAACAUAAUAAAUGCUAACAUUUGACCCAAGGAAGCGCUAUUUUAGUAUUAUCAAUGCAAAGGAUUUUUCUUUCUCAGUUUAGAGUUUUUCCUUCAGUUAAGUAACUAUCAACAACAAAGAGAGUAAGAAGUUUUACAGGGGCCGGUGCUGUGGCUUAGCAAGUUAACCUCUGCUUUCAACACUGACAUCUAUGGGUGCUGGUUAGAGUCCCAGAAGCUCCACUUCCUACCCAGCACCUUGCUAAUGUCCUGGGAAAGCGAAGGAGGAUGGCUUAGGUGCUUGGGCCCCUGUAUCCACAUGGGAGACCCAAAGGAAGCUCCUUACUUCAGCCUGGCCCAGUUCCUGCCAUUGCAGACAUUUAGGGAAUGAACGAGCAGAUGGAAGACCUCUCCCUCUGUCUGCAACUCUGCCUCCAGAUAAUAACAAUAACAAUAAUAAUAAUAAUAAUUCUUAAAACAAAAGUCCUACAAAGAAGAAAUUCAUUGUAUAAACUACACAAUGAUAUUUAAGACAAGCCACAGAAGUUAAGAGAGGAGCAUAUUUUAUUUGAAACUGGCAUCUUAACAGAAGUCUUCAACUUAGUUGAGAUUUCUUAGACAUUAAGUAGCAAAAGGAAAUAUUCCCAAGUAACUAUCUUUCUUCUGCAACAUUCAUUCAUCCUUUCCUUCCUUCCUUCCUUCCUUCCUUCCUUCCUUCCUUCCUUCCUUCCUUCCUUCCUUAUUUUUCGUCAUUGUACAAAUAAGGAGAGUAAACAGAGAAAAUUAAGGAUUACACUGUGUUUGAGGUUAUAAUCCUGCAAGUCUCCACUGGUCCAUUUACUGAGUAAACGUGGGUUAUGGGGUUCAGAGUUCCUGUAUAGGUAACUCUGUAAAAAUCACUGGGUAGAUAAGAAGACAAAAUAUGAUGAAAAUUCAAGAAGGGAACUAUAGCUCCUUUUUUUUUUGCUUGAAUCACAUUAUGUUGUUUCAGAAUAUAGAGAACCAAGCAGUGUAUGGAAGACAGUGAUGCUAUUCUAGAACUAUAGGAAAUUACAGUGAAAAUCUGCUACAAAUUGGAAUCUCUUAUCUAAGUCAACUACUUUAAUGAAAUUUUAAAUAUGUAUUGUAUUAUUAAAAAUACACAAGGGUACUUUAAAAAGUUUGUGGAAAAUGGAGUUAAAAGAAAUUUAUUUUGGUGCAAACAAAUGCAAACUAUACAUACAAGUUACCUUCAAAAAGUCCACGAAAAUAUGCACUGUGCAAAGCGUAUAGGUUUCAAAUUUUUAAACUAAAAUCAACUUAUCUUUUAAUUCCAUUUUCACAAUCUUUUUUAGUACCCAUAGAUAUAUAUUAUAGACAUAUACAUAUAUAAAAUAUAUACAUAUCUAUAUGUAUUUGUUUAUGUGUAACUAAAAUCAAGUAGACCUAAAAAGGAGAAACAUCCAAACAUUAGAUAAAUCUGUUGCCUGACUAUUCUUCACAGAAUAACAAAAAGCAAGCUACAAGAACAUUGGCCUUACAAUUAGACACAGACAGCAAUCAAAAUAAUCUGACCUGGGACCAGUGUUGUGAUACAGUGAGUUAAAUGCUGCCUGGGAUGCCAGCAUCCCAUAUGGGCACAGGUUUAAGUCCCAUCUGCUCCGCUUCUGAUCCAACUUCCUGCUCAUGUGCCUGGGAAAAAAGCAGAGGAUAGCCCAAGUUCUUGGGACCCUGCACCUAUGUGGGAGACCUGGAAGCAGCUCCUGGCUUCAGCCUGGCCCAGUGCCAGCCAUUGCUUCCAUUUGGGAAGUGAACCAGCAGAAACUGUCUCUGUAACUCUGCCUUUCAAAUAAGUCAGUAGCCUCCCCUAUUUGGGAAAUCAUUAAAGAAGCCAUCACCAGGGGCCGGUGCUGUGGUAUAGCAGUUAAAGCUGCUGCCUGCAGUGCUGGCAUCCCAUAUGGGUGCUGGUUCAAGACCCGUCUGCGCCACUUCUGAUCCAGCUCUCUGCUAGGGCCUGGGAAAGCAGAAGAUGGCCCAAGUCCUUGGGCCCUUGCACCUGCAUGGGAGACCCAGAGGAGGCUCCUGGCUCCAGAUGGGUGCAGCUCUGGCUAUUGCGGCCAAUUGGGGAGUGAACUAGCAGAUGGAAGACCUCUCUGUCUCCAUCUCCCUGUCCCCAUCUGUGUAACUAUGACUUUCAAAUAAAAAAAAAAAUCAAAAAAAAAAAAAAGCAAUUAUGACCCUACAGGUUGAUUUUAAAGGAAAACACACACACACACACACACACACACACACAAACGAUGUAUCAAAUAGAUGAUACAGAGCCUGUUUACUGUGAAUCAGAAGCAGAGUGUGAAGUAGAAAAAAAGGCAAAUUUCAACAUAUAAAUAAAAGAACAGAUUUAAUCACAAUUAUUGUGUGUCUCGAUUUCCCAGAUUUCUUUACAGCUAGAAGUGCUCUUGUGUCAUGUUUAACCCUCAAUGUUUCCUCAGGGGAAGUCUCCUGGUAAUGGACGCAUGAAAAUAGUCACACAAGGCUAUUACCUCAUUACUUUUAUUUUAUACACAGAGCAAGCAAAGCGAAUGGGAUGAUUAAUAUGCUGUUCGUCUACAUAAUGGUAAGUAAUGUCGCAUUUAAAAUAUUUGGAAAAUGAAGUUAUUUGCUAACAAACAUUAUAAAACAGUGUAUUUUUAAAGCAGAUUAAAACUAUAUAGUUCUAUCUUUGUAUUAAAAAUACUAUACACAUAAGCUGGACCUUCCUUGAAAUCAUCAAUAUAUAAAUGCAGUUUGCAGAGUGAUAGCUCAGUUAGAUAGCUAUAUAUAGAGAUAUGUAUGAUCUAUCGAUUUAGAGAUAGGUAUUGUCCUGGAUAUAUAUAUAUUUUUUUCCUUCCUGUCUUAAUUCAGUCCUUUAUCACUUUUUCCUUACCACAAUAGCAGGUAUUGUUUUUUAAGAUGUGUUUGCUUAUUUGAAAAUCAGAGUUACAGGAGAGAGAGAGAGAGAGACAUCUUCUAUCUGCUGGUUCACACCACAGAUGGCCACAAUGACUAGGGCUGAGUCAGGGUAAAGCCAGAAUCUUAUUAGGUUUCUCCCACAUGUGAACAGGGUUCCAAGUACUUGCAGUAACUUCCUCUGCUUUUCCCAGGCCAUUAACAGGGAGCUAGAUCAGAAGAGGAACAACUGGGACGUGAACCAUUGCCCAUAUGGGAUGUCAGCAUUGCACGAAGUGGCUUUACUUGCUGUUCUACAGUACUGACAGCAUAAUAGCAUGUUGUAAUUUAGGCACUAUUACAAAACAAUUUAAAAUUUGAAAGUGGGCAGGAGAGUACACAUUAAUGGAUACCACUGAGACACUUUUCUUGCCCUACUUGUAACAAGACUCAAGUGUGACCUGAAUGGCUGCCUGGUGCGUGGAUUUAUAUUCCUCUCAGAGGCAUUGGAUAUUGUAUUUCACCACAAAGAGCUCCUUGCUAUGGCCUGAGAAAACAGUGGAAGAUGGCCCAAGUCCUUGGGCCCCUACACCUGCGUGGGAGACCUGGAGACCUGGCUUCGGAUUGGUGCAGCUCCGAGCCUUGCGGCCAAAUGGGGAGUGAACCAGCAUACGGAAGACCUCUCCCUCUCUCUGCCUCUCCUUCUCUCUCUAACUCUGACCUUCAAAUAAAUAUAUGUACCUUUUUUAAAAAAAGUAAUUGCUAGCAUAUUUGUUGUUUUAAGAGAUCAGAAAUCUUAAUUUUAUAAUUUUCCUCUAUGAACUGUUUAAAAUGUCUAGUUUAUAAAUUUAAAUUAUAUAAACAAAGAAAUUGUGUUAAACCAGUAUGAGUUAAAAUAAUACAAAUACAUCUAUAAUAGUCUAUAAUAGUUUCAUCCAGCAAUUAAAUUGGUCUAACUGAAUAAGCAAGUGCCAUUUCAACAAAUUAUCAGGCUUUACUACUUAGAUAGACUUCAGCUUCUUUGGUAUUUCAUCUCUCUCACCCUUUGACUGAAACCUGAUAGGGAUAUUAGAAAAGCUGUACUGCACUUUGUAAAUACAUGUUUAGUAACAAGAAAAAAUACAGAUCUUCCUUCACGUCAUGGCAAGAUAUUACCCUAAUUUUUGGCCGUUUUAUUAAAAAAAAAGCUCAAUAGAAAAAUAUCCCAGUAAACUCUUAUAACUAUUACUAAAAGCACCACCUGCUGGUUACCAGAAAUGGAUGCAUUUCAGUCUUCUGUCUUCAGACUCUGAUAAAAGAAUAGAAAGACAUUUCUUUCUUGUAUGUCUGCACAGAUUCCUCUCUGCAUAUUGAAGUUACAAGUCCAGAGAAACAGGAGAGGGACUUUAUUGGUAAAAUGUUUUAGACUAUCAGUAUGUGCGUAUAAUGAAAAUCAAUUAUUUCAGUUUGCCUUUUAGUGGAAACCAUAGGUAUAUGAAUGAGGGUAUUUUCUGAUCCAAAUCCCUCUUCUAUAGCCAGAAGGCAACUGUUAGUUCAGGAAGUAUACAGCAGCCCCACCAGAGGAUUUUACAACAUCCAAAAUGAAGAGCUGCUCAAUUUGCUUUGUUGCUAGAAUGCAGCACACAGUAGGUCCUAAAUAAGUGUUGGUUGAAUGAAGAAAGCAAAAAUAAAAUAAUCACUAUGAUUUAAGGAAAGAUAAUACUGAACCGGGGGAAAAUGUCCUCAUUUAAUAUUCAUUAGAUAGAUAUUUUUAUCCAUGCCAAAAUUUGAUGUGUGAAUUUAACAUUAGCAAGGGAGAAGUGAUGCUUUUUAUUUUUAAGACAAAAUCAUGCAAUGAAUAAAUUUAGAAGUUUUUUUUUAGGACCCCAAAAAUAUGGCAAGGUAUUAAUUCUAGAAUGUCUAAAAAACAUUUAGUUUAAGUAUUUGACCUAAUAGAUUAUAAACAAAGAAGAAAUCCUCUGUCAUUAUAUAGCUUUGUUGUAAAUUCGGUAGAACUCAUUUUCUACAUCCUCUUGAGGGGAUUGAUGUAGAUUAUUUCAAAUUGAAAUUUAAGAUAUGAAAUUCCACGCUGUAGGAGGGUAAAAGGCUUCUUUCUUUUUAAAAAUUAAUUUAUCCCCCGUUACAAUGGAGAAAUUGAAUUUCAAGGGUAAUCAAG